UCUCAGAGAGCCAGGACCAAGGAAGGGCAGCCUCAUUCUCCUCUUGCCCCAGGGCACAGACACUCCGGGCAUCUUAGCUCUCAUCUGAUGCAGAUAAAACAGAACACAAGACGCAGCCAGAUCACAGAAGCAUCCUUGAGGUCGCUGCCUGCUUUUCCUCCCCAACCUGAGGUGUUUCCUGCUGGAUUUCUACUGGUGUUAGCUCAGCUGCACUCCACACGGAAGGCUAAUAGAUGCUCAUGUGGCAGAGGAACACAGAGCAUCCUAGAGGACUGGGGAAGAUGUGCAUGCAGUGCAAUGACAGACGUGACCAGCGUGCCUAGGGCUCCAGCUGCCCUCUAAUUAGUACUAUGCACACCAGGGGUGGACAUGAUACAUCAGCACCAACUUACUUCAAGUGUGUAGGUGGCUGAAAGAUUCAAUACCAUCCUGAUUUGUUUAAAUUUCAGCCAUACGGUAGAAAGGCAUCAACACCGUGGAGCCACUGGCUCACUGUUGCUAUCCAUGGAAACAGUCUCUGGUGAGACAUGAGCACAUGCACUGACCUUCAGUGGUGACAUCAGAGCAUCUUCACUUAAAAACCCAGUCAAUAGAAAGAAAGGAGCAGGAGAAAGCAGCAGAUGAACUUAAGGCAGGGAGAGGACGACCACUCAAUGCACUCUGCCAGAUGUGCCACCACUGCAGGACCACACAGUGCACCUUGCCAGAUGUGCCACCACUGCAGAACCAUCUAGUGCAGAUGCCAGAUGUGCCACCACUGCAGAACCACACGGUGCACCUUGCCAGAUGUGCCACCACUGCAGGA